UAAAUUAUUUUACUUGAUAAACUGUUUAGUAAUGAUAAUAGAUAUAAUAAUUAAUGAUUAACUGAGCAUUAUUACGUCAAUAUUUUUUUUUUUUUUUACAAAAUAUUUACUUUUAACACAAUUUAACAAUUAAAUUACGUAUUACAUUCAACAUGUUGGCCCUCCGACGUUAUUUGAAGUCGUCAGUUGAUUGGAUGCCUUCACGUGACGCUGAAAUGACGACACCGCUAGUAUAAAAUAAGCGAGCGGCCAUACUUCUUUCUUUCGCUACUGCAGCGCUGAGGAAACGUGUUUGAUGGUGCGUUAAGUACAAAUAUCUUUUUUUGUGUGUGUUUUUAGAGAUUAGGUUAAAUAUUUUUGUUAAUAAGCUUAAAUGAGAUUAAAGUAACUUUUUAUGUGACCUUUUGAGUGUAAUCCUCCUUCUUGGCAUACUCGUGGUUCUUUGUACCCUUGUAUGUAUGUGUGGAGGAAUAAUAGAGCCAGUGCAAUGUCUUCGGUGCCAGCAUGUUCCCCAUCAGCUGGUUCUAUCCUCAAUCACUGGAACACGGUUUCCUUCUGAUUCAUUUUAAUGCCAGUUUCUGCUUGCUGUUUUGUAGUAAUGUUACUCGUUGGUCUUUAGCGCAUAUUUUGUUUCACCACUUGUUUUCUAAUUUUAAAUUUGUCCUUGUUACAUAGGUUUCGUGAUUUGUCUGGCAUCUGACAACUAAGUUACUGAAGUAAAGCCGCCUUCUGAAGUUCUGGGAAUGUCUGUGCGGUUUCCACAGAUGUUUGUAUUAGCAUACCAACUCUGUAUUUUGUAUAUUCUGUAUUGAGUACAAGUUCCAAUAAACAAUGUCUUUAAUCUCUG